GAUGAACGCUAGCUACAGGCUUAACACAUGCAAGUCGAGGGGAAACGAUAUUGGAAGCUUGCUUCCGAUAGGCGUCGACCGGCGCACGGGUGAGUAACGCGUAUCCAACCUGCCCAUCACUUGGGGAUAACCUUGCGAAAGUAAGACUAAUACCCAAUGACGUCUCUAGAAGACAUCUGAAGGAGAUUAAAGAUUUAUCGGUGAUGGAUGGGGAUGCGUCUGAUUAGCUUGUUGGCGGGGUAACGGCCCACCAAGGCGACGAUCAGUAGGGGUUCUGAGAGGAAGGUCCCCCACAUUGGAACUGAGACACGGUCCAAACUCCUACGGGAGGCAGCAGUGAGGAAUAUUGGUCAAUGGGCGAGAGCCUGAACCAGCCAAGUAGCGUGCAGGAUGACGGCCCUAUGGGUUGUAAACUGCUUUUAUAAGGGAAUAAAGUGGGAGUCGUGACUCUUUUGCAUGUACCUUAUGAAUAAGGACCGGCUAAUUCCGUGCCAGCAGCCGACGG
rnacentral:rRNA from 1 species